AGUGAACGCUGGCGGUAGGCCUAACACAUGCAAGUCGAACGGCAGCACAGUAAGAGCUUGCUCUUACGGGUGGCGAGUGGCGGACGGGUGAGGAAUACAUCGGAAUCUACUUUUUCGUGGGGGAUAACGUAGGGAAACUUACGCUAAUACCGCAUACGACCUACGGGUGAAAGCAGGGGAUCUUCGGACCUUGCGCGAUUGAAUGAGCCGAUGUCGGAUUAGCUAGUUGGCGGGGUAAAGGCCCACCAAGGCGGCGAUCCGUAGCUGGGCUGAGAGGAUGAUCAGCCAAAAUGGAACUGAGACAAGGUCCAGACUCCUAAGGGAGGCAGCAGUGGGGAAUAUUGGACAAUGGGCGCAAGCCUGAUCCAGCCAUACCGCGUGGGUGAAGAAGGCCUUCGGGUUGGAAAGCCCUUUUGUUGGGAAAGAAAAGCAGCAGGUUAAUACCCCGCUGUUCUGACGGUACCCAAAGAAUAAGCACCGGCUAACUUCGUG
rnacentral:rRNA from 1 species